rnacentral:rRNA from 1 species
GAUGAACGCUGGCGGCGUGCCUAAUACAUGCAAGUCGAGCGAACGGACGAGAAGCUUGCUUCUCUGAUGUUAGCGGCGGACGGGUGAGUAACACGUGGAUAACCUACCUAUAAGACUGGGAUAACUUCGGGAAACCGGAACUAAUACCGGAUAAUAUUUUGAACCGCAUGGUUCAAAAGUGAAAGACGGUCUUGCUGUCACUUAUAGAUGGAUCCGCGCUGCAUUAGCUAGUUGGUAAGGUAACGGCUUACCAAGGCAACGAUGCAUAGCCGACCUGAGAGGGUGAUCGGCCACACUGGAACUGAGACACGGUCCAGACUCCUACGGGAGGCAGCAGUAGGGAAUCUUCCGCAAUGGGCGAAAGCCUGACGGAGCAACGCCGCGUGAGUGAUGAAGGUCUUCGGAUCGUAAAACUCUGUUAUUAGGGAAGAACAAAUGUGUAAGUAACUAUGCACGUCUUGACGGUACCUAAUCAGAAAGCCACGGCUAACUACGUG